CCAAAACUUAGCUGCUCCAGUUCAGGCUGGUUGCACGCUUCAACCCUUUGUGAACCAAAAACCUUUACGCUUCGGCAGCUGGUUCCAGCUGUAAGCCUGCCGAUGGCACCCAUUUAAACCUGUCGUUAAAUAUUUGUCUGAACUAAAUAUUUUUGAAUGAAAAUUA
rnacentral:misc_RNA from 1 species